rnacentral:rRNA from 1 species
AGAAGCUUGCUUUUCUUAGCUUAGUGGCGAACGGGUGAGUAACGCGUGAGUAACCUGCCCUGAAGUGGGGGACAACAGUUGGAAACGACUACUAAUACCGCAUGACACAUUGGGGUCGCAUGGCCCUGAUGUCAAAGAUUUAUCGCUGAAAGAUGGCCUCGCGUCUGAUUAGCUAGUUGGUGAGGUAACGGCCCACCAAGGCGACGAUCAGUAGCCGGACUGAGAGGUUGACCGGCCACAUUGGGACUGAGAUACGGCCCAGACUCC